GUAUUAAGCCCAGUCCCGCCGAUGGACCAUCAGAGCCCGGAACCGCAGCUUUUACCUUUCGGAACCCUAAGACUCGGAGAAAGAAAGGCCCAGCUCAACAGUCCUGGAAGCGCGAUACCGAUUCAGUGUUGCCGCCAGCGUUCCUGAGAAGCUUCGGCUUUCCCGAUUUUGACCCCAGAAGCCCUUGGCGGUGGGCUUUCUUUCAGGACUGGCUAGGCUCGCAGUGGUACGCCCCGCCGUCGCCGCAACCCAGACAGCUGAGCUGCUUGCGCGGCCCUCCGAGGAUCCCGCCCUGCCCGGUCGAGCUGGCUGCUUGGGAGACGCCGCCCCAAGCCACAAAACCCACGGCAGAAACACAUCUGGCUCCAUGGCUCGGCGCCGGAGCUGCCAUUCGGGGAUGAGAAUCGGCGGGACCUGGGAAAAAAGUGGAACUUCUCCUAUCCCCCGCCCCCUCCUCUGCCCGACCUGCUGCCCAGCCCCCCCCGUCCCUUCUCCCACCUGCUGUCUCCCCUCUCCCCCCGCCUCCGCCCGACCUGCUAUUCCCUGUCCCGCAGAAUCCCGUCUUCCCGGUGGCUCCUUGGGGCUGUCCCAGCCCGUUGACCAUCGCAGCUCUGUCCUUUACUCCCCAGAGGUAAGAGCUUCGCGAGAGACCGGACUGGGGGGAGGGCCGGCGACCCUCUCCUUUCCCCGCGUCACACACACCCACACCCCCGGGAGCGGGGAAGGCAAGGAGGAGAAAGGAGGAGGAGGAGAAGGAGGAAGGAAUCGCGGAGUGAGAGAAGGAUAAUCAGGUUCUCGACCCACUGGAGAAUCCACGCAUCUACCGGAAUGAAUUGUGGAAAAUUAAAGCCGGAGAGAAAUAUAAGAAGUCACAGAGAGCCUUCCAACCGCUCGUUGUGGAUUAGUAAAAGUGGGUUUUUCUAAUAACACUGACCGCAUCUGCCCCGCGCC